rnacentral:rRNA from 1 species
UACGAAGGGGGCUAGCGUUGCUCGGAAUCACUGGGCGUAAAGCGCACGUAGGCGGAUUGCUAAGUCAGGGGUGAAAUCCUGGAGCUCAACUCCAGAACUGCCUUUGAUACUGGCGACCUUGAGUCCGGGAGAGGUGAGUGGAACUGCGAGUGUAGAGGUGAAAUUCGUAGAUAUUCGGAAGAACACCAGUGGCGAAGGCGGCUCACUGGACUGGUAUUGACGCUGAGGUGCGAAAAGCGUGGGGAGCAAACAGG